rnacentral:rRNA from 1 species
AUUGAACGCUGGCGGCAGGCCUAACACAUGCAAGUCGAGCGAGCGGCGGACGGGUGAGUAAUGUCUGGGAAACUGCCUGAUGGCGGGGGCUAACUACUGGAAACGGUAGCUAAUACCGCAUACCAUCAGAUGUGCCCAGAUGGGAUUAGCUAGUGGGUGGGGUAAUGGCUAACCAAGGCGAAGAUCCCUAGCUGGUAUGAGAGGGUGACCGGCCACACUGGAACUGAGAAACGGUCCAGACUCCUACGGGAGGCAGCAGUGGGGAAUAUUGCACAAUGGGCGAAAGCCUGAUGCAGCCAUGCCGCGUGUGUGAAGAAGGCCUUCGGGUUGUAAAGCACUUUCAGCGGGGAGGCGUUACUCACAGAAUAAGCACCGGCUAACUCCGUGCCAGCAGCCGCGGUAAUAC